GAGGAAUGCUACCUGGUUGAUCCUGCCAGUAG
rnacentral:rRNA from 29 species